GUCUUUUUGAAUAUAAUUUAAGGUCUAAUCUGCUCAAUGAUAAUUUAAAUAGCCGCAGUAUUUUGACUGUGCAAAGGUAGCAUGAUAAUUAGUUUAUUAAUUGUAAACUUGUAUGAAUGAUUGAACGAGAAAAUUUCUGUCUCUUUUUAAUUUAUAAUGAAUUUCACUUUUAAGUUAAAAGGCUUAAAUAAUAGUUAAAGACGAGAAGACCCCAUAGAGUUUUAUUUUUUAAUUAAUUUUAGAAAUAAUUUUUUAUUUUUGAAAAAAUUAGUUGGGGUGACUUAAAGAUUUAAAUAAUUCUUUAAAUUGUAAUCAUAUAUAAAUGAAUUUAAAAUCUGAUAAUUUUCAAUUUUAAAUUAAGUUACCUUGGGGAUAACAGCGUAAUUUCUUUUAGAGUUCUUAUCGAAAAAGAAGAUUGCGACCUCGAUGUUGGAUUAAAGAAAAAUUAUGGUGCAGAAGCCUUGAAUUUAAGUCUGUUCGACUUUUAAAACUUUACA
rnacentral:rRNA from 1 species